rnacentral:misc_RNA from 1 species
AGCAUGAAUGAGAUGCCUGAGAUUGUUCUCAGCUUUGAGAACAAGAAGCUCCCGAUCCAUCACAUUCCUGGCCCAGAAGGUGUCCGAGGCCGUAACUCAGACAACACCCUGAUCAAAGAGAAGCUUGGUUGGGCUCCCACAAUGAAGCUGAAGGACGGGCUGAGAAUUACCUACUUCUGGAUCAAGGAACAGAUUGAGAAAGAGAAGGCUCAAGGUAUUGACUUGUCCAUUUACGGAUCAUCUAAAGUGGUGGGA